GCUGGGAUCACGGCUUGAAAUCUGAAGGGAGGAGACGCGGAAGAAGCGGACGGGCACGGGAUCCUUUCUUCUCCCCUAUUUCCACACGGGAUGAAGCUAGAUCUGAUCUGGAAGAUGGACGGCCGUGAUGCACUGCGGGAGGAAGAAGAAGAUGGCUAGAUUGCGUUCGAAACGGGCACCGAAAUGGAAGGCGAUCAGGGAUGUGGUAGGGACGCGGUUGGAACGUGCUGAAGACGCGGGGACGGCGCUGGCAGCGAUGCGGACGAACGCCUGAUGCGGAAGGCUGGCUGAGAUGUGCCGGCUGGUUGCUUGCAUGGCACGGGAGAGCUAGCUCGGUGGGGACGCGGGCUGGACGUUGAGACGUGCUGAAAAGCUGGCUAGCAUGCUGGGAUGAGCAGAGCUCAAACCCAAUGUUAUUUGGUCUCUUGGAUUACUUACACUCAAACAUAAAUACAAUGUUAAUUAGUUAAUUUUAUCAUUAAUGAUUAGCUAUAAUACUAAUUAAGAUGGUACGACGAUUGCACUUUUAUACUCUCAUCACACCCUCCAACUAGCUUAUUGCUAGUCUCUAGCAAUUUAGUGCGAAAAUGAUAAAAUGAGAGUGCAAAAGUUUUAUUUUUAUUUUUAGUAUUAAUUAUUUUAUAUAUAUAUAUGAAUUAAAAUAAAUACUCACUUUCGUAGAGCAUUACGAUUGAACUUAGCGCGUGCAACAAGCCUUUAAACCCCUAGGUUACCCUAGUGGACGAGUGUUGUCUCGUGAGGGUUUGCAGUGAAGUUACCCACAAACUUCAAUCCCAAAAUAAAAUUUAUUUUAUGAAAUAAAAGUCUAAUUUCAAGUACAUAAAUGAUAAGAAUUUCAAAAACACACAAGGUUUUAAUUACUAAGUAGCCCAAAUUCUAGGUUAGUAUGCAAUUUAAGUUGAAGUCAUUAAGUUUUCCAUUAGAAAGUUGUAAGACUUAUUUAUACUUGAGUGCUCAGUGAAGUCUGGACCAUGCACAAGCUAAGGUUUUGGAUCUCCAAAAUAUCGCUAAUGUUAGUAGUUUCCAAGAAUUGGUCGGACAAGACCUAUUUGCUGAUUCAAAAUCAUCUUAUCUGCAGGAUUUCGAGAGCUGUGGAUGUUUACUUUAAUACCGCAUGGGCUUUCACACUAUGUAUAUAUUGUGCACUUUUACUCCUGUGAUGAUUCCUCCAUGUAGCGAGCAAUUAGUCGUCAAUUCUCACACCAGUUAGCAUGAGGUGUUGGGCAUCAAGACUAUGCUCGGGUUCCUCAUCACAAGCCCGCUGACCUUUGACAAUAGGUAGCCCUUUUCGAUGUACCUGACUAAAUCCACCAUUUUAUUUUUUAUUUUUUAUUUUUUUCUCUUUUUUUGUGAAUCAGAAAAAGAUGGUUCAUCAAGAUUCGAGGUUGCUACCAUAUUCUCAACACAAUGUCGAACCUAUACCAUAGAAAUGCAGGUCAGAUGUGUUGUGAAAUUCAAAGCACUAAUUAGCUUACAACUCACUAAAAGGAACUUAAUAAAAAGAACUUACUUUGCACUACUUCUGACUAGUCAUUAGGCUCUUAGAUUUUAUAUACCUUAUGUGUUGUACAGAAAUAAUAUUUUUUAUUUAUUUUAGAUUUUUUUAUUUAUUUUAAAUGCUUAAAAACACCCCCAAACCUAAAUC
rnacentral:lncRNA from 1 species